UACGAAGGGUGCAAACGUUGCUCGGAAUUGAUUGGCGUAAAGCGCACGUAGGCGGCUUUGCAAGUCGGAUGUGAAGCCCUACGGCUCGAACCUGAACGGAAGUGCGUUCGAAACUGCAGAGCUUGAGUACCGGAGAGGGUGGGCGGAAUUCCCCAAAGUUAGGAGGUGAAAUUCGUAGAUAUGGGGAGGAACACCGGUGGCGAAGG
rnacentral:rRNA from 1 species